GAUCCUGGCUCAGAGUGAACGCUGGCGGUAGGCCUAACACAUGCAAGUCGAACGGCAGCACAGAGGAGCUUGCUCCUUGGGUGGCGAGUGGCGGACGGGUGAGGAAUACAUCGGAAUCUACUCUGUCGUGGGGGAUAACGUAGGGAAACUUACGCUAAUACCGCAUACGACCUACGGGUGAAAGCAGGGGAUCUUCGGACCUUGCGCGAUUGAAUGAGCCGAUGUCGGAUUAGCUAGUUGGACGGGG
rnacentral:rRNA from 1 species